rnacentral:lncRNA from 1 species
ACUUCUCCCCUAGAAUUGCCACUUUCUGAAGAAAUGGUCUGCGUUUGCAUUUUCUCACUCAGCUGAAGGACUGAACCUGUAGAAUCCUUCCGUAAACUUGAUGGCUCGUCCUCGUGAUCAUCGUACUGAUCAACAAAGGUAUCUCCUUCCACAUGUACAUUGACUGCAAGAAUUUCCAACCUCCCCUGUAAAUUCCUGAUAAAGGCAUCACAGUCCCGGAAAAGACUGGGCUCAAUCUCACAAAUCUGAAACACAAGUAGACGGGUAGUCAAUUACCAUGAAACAAACAAAUGCCCUCGGAACUCCCAGUUUUGGCAGGUUUGUUCAGCUUUACUUCUCCCCUAGAAUUGCCACUUUCUGAAGAAAUGGUCUGCGUUUGCAUUUUCUCACUCAGCUGAAGGACUGAACCUGUAGAAUCCUUCCGUAAACUUGAUGGCUCGUCCUCGUGAUCAUCGUACUGAUCAACAAAGGUAUCUCCUUCCACAUGUACAUUGACUGCAAGAAUUUCCAACCUCCCCUGUAAAUUCCUGAUAAAGGCAUCACAGUCCCGGAAAAGACUGGGCUCAAUCUCACAAAU